rnacentral:rRNA from 1 species
GGCACCUGAUCCAUCAAUGCGCGUGAGUGAAGAAGGCUUCGGGUUGUAAAGCUCUUUUGUCAGGGAAGAAACACCGGCUCUAACACAGUCCGGGAAUGACGGUACCUGAAGAAUAAGCACCGGCUAACUACGUGCCAGCAGCCGCGGUAAUACGUAGGGUGCGAGCGUUAAUCGGAAUUACUGGGCGUAAAGCGUGCGCAGGCGGUUAUACAAGACAGGCGUGAAAUCCCCGGGCUUAACCUGGGAAUGGCGCCUGUGACUGUAUAGCUAGAGUGUGUCAGAGGGGGGUAGAAUUCCACGUGUAGCAGUGAAAUGCGUAGAUAUGUGGAGGAAUACCAAUGGCGAAGGCAGNCCCCUGGGAUAACACUGACGCUCAUGCACGAAAGCGUGGGGAGCAAACAGGAUUAGAUACCCUGGUAGUCCACGCCCUAAACGAUGCUGACUAGUUGUUCGGGAUUUACAUCCUGAGUAACGUAGCUAACGCGUGAAGUCAGACGGCUGGGGAGUACGGUCGCAAGAUUAAAACUCAAAGGAAUUGACGGGGGACCCGCACCAAGCGGUGGAUGAUGUGGAUC